rnacentral:lncRNA from 1 species
ACAAAGCUUGACAUGAUACACAUUAAAAGCGCAUAAAGUGCUUCAAAUCCUCCUGCAGAUGCUGCUGUCUGCUCCCACUGCGAUCUCCCCAAACACACACAAUUCUGCUGCAGAACCUUACGUAUGUGCUUCUGGAUUGGCCAGAACCUCCCCAGUCGUGAUGGUGCUGUGCAGAUGAACACUCCUGCUUAAAUCUGUGAAGGAUGAGUCCCAAUUUCUACCCACAGGAGAGCUGCUAAUUUUACAGCGCUGGCACUGAUAGGUCACCAAGCGCUAUGUUUUGCCUUACUUGGGUGUUGCUCUCGGGAUGCUGGUGAUAGAAGCAGCAAGUCAUUCUCUUUUCUUGAUAGGAGACUUUGUUGUUCUAGUUUUCUCUCAUAAAACGUCUGCAGCUGAAGUAUUCUAGCUGAGAAAAAACUAAAUAAAAGCAUCUGAGAUUUAUUCUUGGUUUCUCCAACAGCUUAAUUCCAUGGGAGUGCUGUGGAAAGGCUCACAGCCUCAGGAUGAGGCAUGAAGCUGGGAGAUAAAAGCUUGCCAGGUCCGGUGAUUUGCCAGUCUCUACUCCUGUCUUCUCAGAGCAGUUUUGAAAUGGUUGCCAAGAUGACACAUAAUCGGGGUAUUUGUCUUUUAAAGGCAGAGUUAAUAGGUGCUCCGCAAGGAGCCUUUGCACACAUUUUGCCUCUGUCGACAGCUCAGUUUGUUCCCUAAACCUGGCCUGCUUGAAUAUCAAAGAUGCCAUUAAACGGCCAACGCUACAGUGCAGUGCUCAGUGCAGGAAAACGUGCGGACUCAGAUCCACAGCAAUUACAGGUGGCCUAAAGAGCAACAUCAAAGACCUUGAUUAGACACCCCUCUGUUUUAAAAGUCUGACCUGCCCCUAUGCAGUUCUUCCCCUGUGUUGGGAGAUUGGACCUGACUCCUGUCCUUCAUACGGUGACAUAAAAUGGGCUCCACUGUGCGAACAGUAAGUGCCUUAAAGAAAAGCAUUACACUGUUUCAUUUCUCUUUAUAUGUCUGCCCUCCUGUAUGGUAAGGUACUGGCACAGGCUUCCCAGAGAGGUUGUGGAUGCCCUGUCCAUCCUUGAAGGCAUUCAAGGCCAGAUUGGACGGGGUCCUGGGCAGCCUGGUCUGGUAUUAAAUGCGGAGGUUGCUGGCUCUGCCUGUGGCAGAGGGAUUGGAGAUUCAUGAUCCUUGAGGUCCCUUCCAACCCAAGCGAUCCUGUGAUUCUAUGGUACUUGUGCAGCAGAGAGGCUAAAACACAGUUAUAGGGGAGAAAAUUACGGGAC